rnacentral:rRNA from 1 species
UACAGAGGUCUCAAGCGUUGUUCGGGAUUCAUUGGGCGUAAAGGGUGCGUAGGCGGCGCGGUAAGUCGGGUGUGAAAUCUCGGGGCUUAACUCCGAAACUGCAUUCGAUACUGCCGUGCUUGAGGACUGGAGAGGAGACUGGAAUUUACGGUGUAGCGGUGAAAUGCGUAGAUAUCGUAAGGAAGACCAGUGGCGAAGGCGGGGUCUCUGGGCAGAUACCGACGCUGAGACGCGAAAAGCGUGGGGAAGCAAACAGG